UACGUAGGGUGCAAGCGUUGUCCGGAAUUAUUGGGCGUAAAGGGCUCGUAGGCGGUCCAUCACGUCGGGAGUGAAAAGCUGGGGCUUAACCCCAGUCCUGCUUCCGAUACGGGUGGACUAGAGGUAGGCAGGGGAGAACGGAAUUCCUGGUGUAGCGGUGAAAUGCGCAGAUAUCAGGAGGAACACCGGUGGCGAAGGCGGGACUCUGGGCCGAUACUGACGCUGAGGAGCGAAAGCGUGGGGAGCAAACAGG
rnacentral:rRNA from 1 species